UAGAUUACUCUAUUUUGAAGAAGACAAAGAAGAUUCCAAACCUAUAUAAGAGCAUGGCCAUAAGGCUUGGAGGUAUAUUAUUCUAUUAUAAUUAUUAGGAUUUCUGUUAAUUUAGCUAUCGAAGUGAGUUAUCGGACAAUUCAUCGGUACUCCACUAAUAUAUUUGCGGGUAUUAGGCCAAAUUCCUUCAUUUUCCUUUGACGCUUCUUGGGCCUUCAAAACUUUAAACAAGAUUCCGCUAAAACUGGGCUUUGCUGUAUCCCACUAUAGUUUAUAGAAGCUCUAAGGUUUCUAUUUGAGAGCUAGAAGCCCAAUAGAGAUAGGGUUUCACUGCCCAUAUAAAUGUAUCCCCAAACCCUAAUUCUCACUCUCAUCUCCUUUAUCUGCAGCCUCUGUUGAAAUCAACAGUUAGGGUUCUCAAUCAGAAGGCAGCAAACAGCUUUGAGGCUUACCUUGUCACCAUGAGAGCCAAGUGGAAGAAGAAGCGUAUGAGGAGGUUGAAGAGGAAGCGCAGAAAGAUGAGACAGAGAUCUAAGUAAUUUUGUUUUAAGAACGGUGUCGUUUUCUUUUCAGUUUUCUGGCGUUAAAGAGUACUGGUUUUAAGUAGUUGUUUUAAGGUGUUUAAGUUCUUAUGUUUUAUGUAUUACAUUUUUAUUAGACCAUAUUAAUUUAAUGGAAUUGGGUUUUUGUCUUUGCUUA